rnacentral:rRNA from 1 species
CCUACGGGUGGCAGCAGUGGGGGAUAUUGGACAAUGGGGGGAACCCUGAUCCAGCGACGCCGCGUGAGUGAAGAAGUAUUUCGGUAUGUAAAGCUCUGUCAGCAGGGAAGAAAGAAAUGACGGUACCUGACCAAGAAGCCCCGGCUAACUACGUGCCAGCAGCCGCGGUAAUACGUAGGGGGCAAGCGUUAUCCGGAAUUACUGGGUGUAAAGGGAGCGUAGACGGUUAAGUAAGUCUGGAGUGAAAGCCCAUGGCUUAACCAUGGUACUGCUCUGGAAACUGUGGAGCGUGAGUGCGGGAGGGGCAGGCGGAAUUCCUAGUGUAGCGGUGAAAUGCGUAGAUAUUAGGAGGAACACCGGCGGCGAAGGCGGCCUGCUGGACCGUAACUGACGUUGAGGCUCGAAAGCGUGGGGAGCAAACAGGAUUAGAUACCCGUGUAGUC